GCUGGGCGCAGUGGUGCACGUCUGUAAUCCCAGCAUUUUGGGAGGCUGAGGCAGGAGGAUUAAGAGUUCAAAGCCAACCUGCCUCAGCAACUGCAAGGCGCUAAGCAAUUCCCUGAGACCCUGUCUCUA
rnacentral:sRNA from 1 species